CCUACGGGAGGCAGCAGUGAGGAAUAUUGGUCAAUGGCCGGAAGGCUGAACCAGCCAUGCCGCGUGAAGGUCAGUGCCCUAUGGGCGUUAAACUUCUUUUGUUCGGGAGCAAUAAUGGUCCCGUUUGGCCAGACGAGAGUACCGUACGAAUAAGCAUCGGCUAACUCCGUCCCAUCCGCCGCGGUAAUACGGGGGAUGCGAGCGUUUUCCGGAUUUAUUGGGGUUAAAGGGUGCCUAGGCGGAUUUUUAAGUCAGCGGUAAAAGUGCCGGGACAAACCCGGGACAGCGGUUGAAACUGGGGAUCUUGAGUGGGCGGGAAGUAUGCGGAAUGCGUGGUGUAGCGGUGAAAUGCAUAGAUAUCACGAAGAACUCCGAUUGCGAAGGCAGCAUACGGGCGCGCGACUGACGCUGAGGCACGAAAGCGUGGGGAUCGAACAGGAUUAGAUACCCGGGUAGUC
rnacentral:rRNA from 1 species